UGGAUAGCUCAAUUGGUUACAGUGUUGUGCUACUAAUACCAAGGUUGUAGGUUCAAUCCCUAUCUGGAACAG